AUUGAACGCUGGCGGCAUGCCUUACACAUGCAAGUCGAACGGCAGCACGGGGCAACCUGGUGGCGAGUGGCGAACGGGUGAGUAAUGCAUCGGAACGUACCUUUCAGUGGGGGAUAACGUAGCGAAAGUUACGCUAAUACCGCAUAUUCUGUGAGCAGGAAAGCAGGGGAUCGCAAGACCUUGCGCUGAUUGAGCGGCCGAUGUCAGAUUAGCUAGUUGGUGAGGUAAAGGCUCACCAAGGCGACGAUCUGUAGCGGGUCUGAGAGGAUGAUCCGCCACACUGGAACUGAGACACGGUCCAGACUCCCACGGGAGGCAGCAGUGGAGAAUUUUGGACAAGGGGGGCAACCCUGAUCCAGCCAUGCCGCGGAAGUGAAGAAGGCCUUCGGGUUGUAAAGCUCUUUCGGCCGGGAAGAAAUCGCACGGGCUAAUACCCUGUGUGGAUGACGGUACCGGAAUAAGAAGCACCGGCUAACUACGUGCCAGCAGCCGCCGUAAAAC
rnacentral:rRNA from 1 species